rnacentral:misc_RNA from 1 species
GAAAAGUUUUUUAAAUAAAUUGCAACCACUAUGACAUAUUGCUAAUAAGAGAUUUCCAUCAGAUAUUCAAAAGCUACCAUCCCAAUUAUACUGCAGCUCCAUUUUAUAACUGAUCAAAAUAUUCAUGGUCAGGGUUAUGCCAUAAUCAAUUCUGAGUAAACCUUGGCGGCAAACCCUGGAUUUUGGGUCCUACUAUAUACUUGUAAUACGAUGAACAAUCCUGACAAUAAAUGGAGUGAAGUGAACCAAGAAACCAUUUCUAUUCCAUUCCCCUAAACAUCAUCGCAAAAGCAAAAGCCACAAAACAAAAAUACUACCAACCUGCAUAUUUC